UGGCUCAGACGGUAAAGCAUCUGCCUACAAUGCGGGAGACCCAGGUUCGAUCCCUGG
rfam:Ovis aries breed Texel chromosome 8, whole genome shotgun sequence.